rnacentral:lncRNA from 1 species
CCAUGCCUUCCAAUGCCAUGAACCAAGCUUGUCAUGGGUUCUCCAUUGAGUAGAGAGGCCUUGGAGCAAGUUUGAUGGCCAUUGGACAUAUGUUCAUGGCGGCCGCCAUACAUUCCUGGCGCCCGUCAUGCCCUAGUGACAAGCUUCCGACACGUUAUAUCUCACAAUCUUCCAGAAGCCAUAACUUUGUCAUCCGAACUCUGAAUUGAGUGAACCAAAACUCCAUUUCAUGUAUCUCGACGAGCUCUUUAACAUGGAGUAAUCAAAAUGAGCAAUUGAAGAUGUCUUUUUACCAUGUAUAUUGCCCUAUUUCACCUGCACUCACAUAAUCACCACAAGUUGUGGAAAUCAUUAGUAAUAAACCCUAUGACUAUGUUUUGUGUCACUUAUAUGACCAAAAUAGCCAUUGUUGAUAGUAUAAAAUGAGGUGUUAAGGACCAUCAACACUACUUCUACUCUGGAAGUACGCAUUCAUUCAUUCACCCACACACAUUCCACAUCUACUUAGAAAAUGUUCUACUCCUACACUGGGAGAAGGCACCCAAAAAUAUUCAUUGCCAUUAUGUCUUAUUCUACUUAUCCUAUAAAGCUUCACUUAUUUCAGUUGAUACUCCCUACUGUUAUUAGUGCAUUAAAAGGGUUGGCUGAUCUUAAAAAAGAGAGAAAAAGAAAAGAAAGAGGACAAAAGUCCCAAAGAAAAAGAAAAGAGAAAGACAACCAAGUCCUUAUUCUCAGAUUAGGGAGGUAUGUUAUCCCCAAGGAGCAAUUGUAGAAUUAGAUAUUCACCAUCAGUCAUCACCCCUCAUCAUUCUUAUCAUUCACUGCACUCACAUGCACAUAUGACUUGGUUGUAUAAUUAGUUUCUCUGGAUCCAUGGUUUAACUAUGCAAUACAUGCAAGUAGGUUUGAAUUGUCUUUCCCACCUAUGAGCUCCAUAAGCCAAUUAUGAGUAGGGUGAGAGAGAGAAGGCUAUUAAGCCUUAGUGAUAUAAUUACCAUAUUCUGAGAGAAGGCAUAUUCACUUGCCUUGGAGAGGAUCCAAAAAUACCACAUAUGAGAGACUGAAAAGGAUCAUACAAGGAAACUCUGAGUUUUAUUUGAAAAUAUUGUAAAAACUUUAGAAUAAUAGUUGACC